rnacentral:rRNA from 1 species
ACGGGAGGCAGCAGUGGGGAAUAUUGCACAAUGGGGGAAACCCUGAUGCAGCGACGCCGCGUGAGUGAUGAAGUAUUUCGGUAUGUAAAACUCUAUCAGCAGGGAAGAUAAUGACGGUACCUGACUAAGAAGCACCGGCUAAAUACGUGCCAGCAGCCGCGGUAAUACGUAUGGUGCAAGCGUUAUCCGGAUUUACUGGGUGUAAGGGGUGCGUAGGUGGUAUGGCAAGUCAGAAGUGAAAACACGGGGCUCAACCCCGUGACUGCUCUUGAAACUGUCAAACUAGAGUGCAGGAGAGGAAAGCGGAAUUCCUAGUGUAGCGGUGAAAUGCGUAGAUAUUAGGAGGAACACCAGUGGCGAAGGCGGCUUUCUGGACUGUAACUGACGCUGAGGCACGAAAGCGUGGGGAGCAAACAGGAUUAGAUACCCUGGUA